rnacentral:rRNA from 1 species
UCGGGAAUAUUGGACAAUGGGCGCAAGCCUGAUCCAGCAAUGCCGCGUGCAGGAAGAAGGCCUUCGGGUUGUAAACUGCUUUUGUACGGAACGAAACGGUCCUGGUUAAUACCUGGGGCUAAUGACGGUACCGUAAGAAUAAGCACCGGCUAACUACGUGCCAGCAGCCGCGGUAAUACGUAGGGUGCGAGCGUUAAUCGGAAUUACUGGGCGUAAAGCGUGCGCAGGCGGUUUUGUAAGACAGGCGUGAAAUCCCCGGGCUCAACCUGGGAAUGGCGCUUGUGACUGCAAAGCUGGAGUGCGGCAGAGGGGGAUGGAAUUCCGCGUGUAGCAGUGAAAUGCGUAGAUAUGCGGAGGAACACCGAUGGCGAAGGCAAUCCCCUGGGCCUGCACUGACGCUCAUGCACGAAAGCGUGGGGAGCAAACAGGAUUAGAUACCCCCGUAGUCCCUGAGCGGGCUGGCAAGGCGCAU